rnacentral:lncRNA from 1 species
GGGACACAGUGGUUGGUGACGGGACAGAGCGGUCGGUGACAGCCUCAAGGGCUUCAGCACCGCGCCCAUGGCAGAGCCAGACCGAGGAGGAGGAUCGCUUGAGCCCAGGAAUUUGAGGCUGCAGUGAGCUAUGAUCGCACUAUUGCACUCCAACCUGGGUGACAUGAGCGAGACCCUUUCUCUAAAAAGUAAAAAAGAAAGAAAGUAAGUCAGGGCCAGAAACAAUGGCUCAUGCUUGUAAUCCCAGUACUUUGGGAGGCCAAGGUGGUUGGAUCGCUUGAGCCCAGGAGUUCAAGACCAGCCUGGGCAAAAGCCCCUACUUUCUCCCUGUCCCCCUAAAUCUUCCUCUCCAGCCUCUCUGCCCCUCACUAAUCACCUCUCCCGGCAUCACUUUGCAUGUAGAUAAGAUCUUUUCUCCGUCCCCUCCCUCCCUCUGCUCCAUUUUUACCACCAUCCCAUCCCAGUGUAACUAGGUUGGUGGGUGUUCUUGCCCCCUCACUGACCAUUUGAACCCCUUUAUUCCCCCCUUAAUCGUUCUCCCCACUGUAACCACCUCUGCUCCCCUCCCCCAGCCUCUCACCCUCUGGAGACCCAGGCAGGGAAGGUGCAGGAGGCUCA